rnacentral:rRNA from 1 species
AGAGUUUGAUCCUGGCUCAGGAUGAACGCUGGCGGUACGCUUAACACAUGCAAGUCGAACGGAGUGCUUCGGCACUUAGUGGCGGACGGGUGAGUAACGCGUGAGAAACUGUCCUUUGGACUGGGACAACAGUUGGAAACGACUGCUAAAACCGGAUGUGCCGAGAGGUGAAAUAUUGUAUAGCCAAAGGAUGUGCUCGCGUCAGAUUAGCUAGUUGGUUAGGUAACGGCUGACCAAGGCGACGAUCGGUAGCUGUUCUGAGAGGAUGAUCAGCCACACUGGGACUGAGACACGGCCCAGACUCUUACGGGAGGCAGCAGUGGGGAAUUUUCCNCAAUGGGGGCAACCCUGANGGAGCAAUACCCGCGUGAGGGAAGAAGGCCUUUGGGUCGUAAACCUCUUUUCCCCUGGGAAGAAACCUGACGNACCAGAGGAAUAGCUCG